ACGGAAGGCAGCAGUGGGGAAUAUUGCACAAUGGGCGAAAGCCUGAUGUAGCGACGCCGCGUGAACGAAGAAGUAUUUCGGUAUGUAAAGUUCUAUCAGCAGGGAAGAAGAAUGACGGUACCUGACUAAGAAGCACCGGCUAAAUACGUGCCAGCAGCCGCGGUAAUACGUAUGGUGCAAGCGUUAUCCGGAUUUACUGGGUGUAAAGGGAGCGCAGGCGGUAUGGCAAGUCUGAUGUGAAAGCCCGGGGCUCAACCCCGGUACUGCAUUGGAAACUACCAGACUAGAGUGUCGGAGAGGUAAGUGGAAUUCCUAGUGUAGCGGUGAAAUGCGUAGAUAUUAGGAGGAACACCAGUGGCGAAGGCGGCUUACUGGACGAUAACUGACGCUGAGGCUCGAAAGCGUGGGGAGCAAACAGGAUUAGAUACCCUGGUA
rnacentral:rRNA from 1 species